UACGUAGGAUCCGAGCGUUGUCCGGAAUUACUGGGCGUAAAGCGCGCGUAGGCGGGCUUGUAAGUCGAUUGUGAAAUCCCAGGGCUUAACCUUGGAAUUGCAGUCGAAACUGCAAGUCUUGAAUGCUCGAGAGGAUGGCGGAAUUCCUGGUGUAGUAGUGAAAUACGUAGAUAUCAGGAAGAACACCGGAGGCGAAGGCGGCUGUCUGGCGAAACAUUGACGCUGAGGUGCGAAAGCGCGGGGAGCAAACAGG
rnacentral:rRNA from 1 species